GUCCACGCCGUAAACGAUGAGAACUAGGUGUUGCGGGUAUUGACCCCUGCAGUGCCGUAGCUAACGCAUUAAGUUCUCCGCCUGGGAAGUACGGUCGCAAGACUAAAAACUCAAAGGAAUUGACGGGGGCCCCGCACAAGCGGUGGAGCAUGUGGUUUAAUUCGACGCAACGCGCAGAACCUUACCUGGGCUUGACAUCUACGGAACCUUCGUGAAAGCGAGGGGUGCCUUUCGGGGAGCCGUAAGACAGGUGCUGCAUGGCUGUCGU
rnacentral:rRNA from 1 species